CUUCAAAGGGAAACAUGGGCUUUCACGGACACAGCUGGUUUCACAGUCCACACUCUUGAAGAAGGUUAACCUGGCAGGACUUGCGGCGGCCAGGUCAAGGUCAUGAUCUGUCCAUUGCCCCCACUGCAUGAACAUGAGGGCUCUAUCUUCGUCUAAUGUUAUGCUCUCAGUAAGGAAUUGGACAAUUUCAUUUGAUACUGCACGUGCCUGUUUAAA